rnacentral:rRNA from 1 species
AUUGAACGCUGGCGGCAGGCCUAACACAUGCAAGUCGAACGAGUGGCGGACGGGUGAGUAAUGUCUGGGAAACUGCAUGAUGGAGGGGGAUAACUACUGGAAACGGAAGCUAAUACCGCAUACCAUCGGAUGUGCCCAGAGGGGAUGAGCUAGUGGGUGGGGUAAAGGCUCACCUAGGCGACGAUCCCUGGCUGGUCUGAGAGGAUGACCCGCCACACUGGAACUUAGACACGGCCCAGACUGCUACGGUAGGCCGCAGUGGGGCAUCUUGCACCAUGGGUGCAAGACUGAUGCAGCCAUGCCGCGUGUAUGAAGAAGGCCUUCGGGUUGUAAAGUACUUUCAGCGGGGAGGCGUUACCCGCAGAAGAAGCAACGGCUAACUCCGUGCCAGCAGCCGCGGUAAUAC